AGCGAACGCUGGCGGCAGGCCUAACACAUGCAAGUCGAACGAACCUUUCGGGGUUAGUGGCGGACGGGGGAGUAACACGUGGGAACGUGCCUUUAGGUUCGGAAUAACUCAGGGAAACUUGUGCUAAUACCGAAUGUGCCCUUCGGGGGAAAGAUUUAUCGCCUUUCGAGCGGCCCGCGUCUGAUUAGCUAGUUGGUUGAGGUAAUGGCUCACCCAGGCGACGAUCAGUAGCUGGUCUGAGAGGAUGAGCAGCCACAUUGGGACUGAGACACGGCCCAAACUCCUACGGGAGGCAGCAGUGGGGAAUCUUGCGCAAUGGGCGAAAGCCUGACGCAGCCAUGCCGCGUGAAUGAUGAAGGUCUUAGGAUUGUAAAAUUCUUUCACCGGGGACGAUAAUGACGGUACCCGGAGAAGAAGCCCCGGCUAACUUCGUG
rnacentral:rRNA from 1 species